rnacentral:rRNA from 1 species
UCUGGUUGAUCCUGCCAGUUGUCAUAUGCUUGUUUCAAAGAUUAAGCCAUGCAAAUGUAAGUAUAAGUUAUUCUAGGAAAAGAAUAGACGAGACUGUGAACGGCUCAUUAAAUCAGCAAUAAUUAAAUCGGUGGAUAUUGGAAGAUGGAGACGGAUAACCGUGGGAAAUCUAUAGCUAAUACGUGGAAAGAGAGAUAUUUACUGGGUAGAGGAGUAGAUAGGGUGGAUAUUAGAAGAGUAGACAGAAGAAGAGGAAGAGUGAUUGAUAGUAUGUGAACGGAUCGUAAAAGAGACGAGAGGCCGAACAAAUUUCUGCCCUAUCAACUGUGGACGGUAGCAUAGAGGGCUACGGUGGUGAUGACGGGUAACGGAGAAUGAGGGUUCGAUUCCGGAGAGGCCGCCUGAGAAACGGCGACCACUUCCAAGGAAGGCAGCAGGCGCGUAAAUUAUCCAAUCCCGAUUCGGGGAGAUAGUGACAAGAAAUACCGGUGUAGGGCCUUCUGGGUCUUACGAUCGGAAUGAGUACAAUUUAAAAACAUUAGCGAGGAACAAUUGGAGGGCAAGUCUGGUGCCAGCAGCCGCGGUAAUUCCAGCUCCAAGAGUGUAUAUUAAAGUUGUUGCGGUUAAAAAGCUCGUAGUUGGACUUUGGGUAGGGGCGUGCGGUCCCCGGCGGGCGACCGUCGGGAUCCGGGCCGUGCGUUUCCGUCCCCGUUCUCGGAACGUCAGCGACGGUAAAACGUCGGUUCCGUAGGGUUUACUUUGAAUAAAUUAGGGUGUUCAAAGCAGGCGAAUCGCCUUGAAUACAUUAGCAUGGGAUAAUGAAAGAUGACCUUUGGUCUAUACUUUAUUGGUUUCUAAGGCCGAGGUAAUGAUUGAUAGGGACGGUCGGGGUCGCUUGUAUUCAGUGGUCAGAGGUGAAAUUCUAGGACCCAUUGAGGACAAACGAAUGCGAAGGCAUUCGACAAGGAUGUUUUCAUUAAUCAAGAACGAAAGUUGUGGGAUCGAAGAUGAUCAGAUACCGUCGUAGUCGCAACCGUAAACCAUGUCGACUUAGGAUUCGGGGAUGUUAAUAGAUGACUCUCCGAGCACUAUGUGCGAAAGCAUAAGUAUUCGGACUCCGGGGGGAGUAUGGUCGCAAGGCUGAAACUUAAAGGAAUUGACGGAAGGACACCACCAGGAGUGGAACCUGCGGCUUAAUUUGACUCAACACGGGGAAUCUCACCAGGUCCGGACACUAGGAGGAUUGACAGAUUGAUAGCUCUUUCUUGAUUUUGUGGAAGCCGGUGCAUGGCCGUUUUUAGUUGGUGGAGUGAUUUGUCUGGUUAAGUCCGAUAACGAACGAGACCUCUUUCGGUUAAAUAGUGGUAUGUAUGAGGUGCUUUUGGGUGGGGAGCUUCGGCAAACUGUCCUGGGUGCCAGUAGAAUAGGUAAAAACACUUCUUAGAGAGACAAACAAUGUUCGAAAGUUGAAGGAAGCUAGAGGCAAAAACAGGUCUGUGAUGCCGCUUGAUGUUCUGGGCUGCACGCGCGUUACACUGAAGUGCACAACGAGUCUAAAAAUGCCAAGCUUGAGGAGGCAAGGCAAUCUGAUAACACAUUUCGUGAUUGGGAUUGUGUUUUGAAACUAUCACACAUAAACGAGGAAUUCCUAGUAAGGGCGUGUCAUCAACGCGCCCUGCAUACGUUACUGUCCUUUGUACACACCGCCCA